AAUGGGGGAAACCCUAACGCAGCGACGCCGCGUGAGUGAUGAAGGACUUCGGUUCGUAAAGCUCUGUUGCAAGGGAAAAAGUUCUGAUUGUACCUUGUGAGGAAGGGUCGGCUAACUUCGUGCCAGCAGCCGCGGUAAGACGAGGGACCCUAGCGUUGUUCGGAAUCAUUGGGCGUAAAGCGGGUGCAGGUGGCUUUGUAAGUCAGGUGUGAAAGCCCAGGGCUCAACCCUGGAAGUGCAUUUGAUACUGCGGAGCUUGAGUGCUGGAGAGGUUACUAGAAUUCCAGGUGUAGUGGUGAAAUACGUAGAUAUCUGGAGGAAUACCGGAGGCGAAGGCGGGUAACUGGCCAGACACUGACACUCAGACCCGAAAGCGUGGGGAUCAAA
rnacentral:rRNA from 1 species